GUGGGGAAUAUUGGACAAUGGGCGAAAGCCUGAUCCAGCCAUGCCGCGUGUGUGAAGAAGGUCUUCGGAUUGUAAAGCACUUUAAGUUGGGAGGAAGGGCAGUAAGUUAAUACCUUGCUGUUUUGACGUUACCGACAGAAUAAGCACCGGCUAACUUCGUGCCAGCAGCCGCGGUAAUACGAAGGGUGCAGGCGUUAAUCGGAAUUACUGGGCGUAAAGCGCGCGUAGGUGGUUGUGUAAGUUGGAGGUGAAAUCCCCGGGCUCAACCUGGGAACUGGUUUCAAAACUGAUGAGCUAGAGUACGGUAGAGGGUGGUGGAAUUUCCUGUGUAGCGGUGAAAUGCGUAGAUAUAGGAAGGAACACCAGUGGCGAAGGCGACCACCUAGACUGAUACUGACACUGAGGUGCGAAAGCGUGGGGAGCAAACAGGAUUAGAAACCCGGGUAGUCC
rnacentral:rRNA from 1 species